rnacentral:rRNA from 1 species
AGACCCGAAACCCGGUGAUCUAGCCAUGGGCAGGUUGAAGGUUGGGUAACACUAACUGGAGGACCGAACCGACUAAUGUUGAAAAAUUAGCGGAUGACCUGUGGCUGGGGGUGAAAGGCCAAUCAAACCGGGAGAUAGCUGGUUCUCCCCGAAAGCUAUUUAGGUAGCGCCUCGUGAAUUCAUCUCCGGGGGUAGAGCACUGUUUCGGCUAGGGGGCCAUCCCGGCUUACCAACCCGAUGCAAACUGCGAAUACCGGAGAAUGUUAUCACGGGAGACACACGGCGGGUGCUAACGUCCGUCGUGAAGAGGGAAACAACCCAGACCGCCAGCUAAGGUCCCAAAGUCAUGGUUAAGUGGGAAACGAUGUGGGAAGGCCCAGACAGCCAGGAUGUUGGCUUAGAAGCAGCCAUCAUUUAAAGAAAGCGUAAUAGCUCACUGGUCGAGUCGGCCUGCGCGGAAGAUGUAACGGGGCUAAACCAUGCACCGAAGCUGCGGCAGCGACACUCAGGUGUUGUUGGGUAGGGGAGCGUUCUGUAAGCCUGCGAAGGUGGCCUG